GUAGCGUUCGAGUCGUCGGUCAACCGAGCAAUUUCAUCUGCUUGGUAAAAGAUCUUUCCUUUGUCGU
rnacentral:pre_miRNA from 1 species